AUAAUUUCACCUAAGUCAAGAUGCUAAGUGACUUGUCCAAGGUCACAUGACUAUUAAGAGAAAGAAUAAGACUUGUACCUACGAAACCUGACUUUGAAGCAUAUCUCCAGUCACUACCCAGGCUACCACGUGCAUUCCCAGGUCUAAACGUCUUCAGUUCAUUUCAAUGCUGUCCCUGUCAGUUCCGCUCCAGUGCUGCAGCAGACAUGGUAUGGG
rnacentral:lncRNA from 1 species